rnacentral:rRNA from 1 species
GACGAACGCUGGCGGCGUGCCUAAUACAUGCAAGUAGAACGCACAGUUUAUACCGUAGCUUGCUCCACCAUAGACUGUGAGUUGCGAACGGGUGAGUCACGCGUAGGUAACCUGCCUGGUAGCGGGGGAUAACUAUUGGAAACGAUAGCUAAUACCGCAUAAUAUUAAUUAUUGCAUGAUAAUUAAUUGAAAGGUGCAAUUGCACCACUACCAGAUGGACCUGCGUUGUAUUAGCUAGUAGGUGAGGUAACGGCUCACCUAGGCGACGAUACAUAGCCGACCUGAGAGGGUGAGCGGCCACACUGGGACGGGGACACGGCCCAGACUCCUACGGGAGGCAGCAGUAGGGAAUCUUCGGCAAUGGACGAAAGUCUGACCGAGCAACGCCGCGUGAGUGAAGAAGGGUGUCGGAUCGUAAAGCUCUGUUGUAAGAGAAGAACGGGUGUGAGAGUGGAAAGUUCACACUGUGACGGUAUCUGACCAGAAAGGGACGGCUAACUACGUG